AGUGAACGCUGGCGGUAGGCUUAACACAUGCAAGUCGAACGGCAGCACAGUAAGAGCUUGCUCUUACGGGUGGCGAGUGGCGGGCGGGAGAGGAAUGUAUCGGAAUCUACUUUUUCGUGGGGGUUCACGUAGGGAAACUUACGCUAAUACCGCAUACGACCUACGGGUGAAAGCAGGGGAUCUUCGGACCUUGCGCGAUUGAAUGAGCCGAUGCGGGAUUAGAUAGUUGGCGGGGUAAAGGCCCACCAAGGCGACGAUCCGUAGCUGGACUGAGUGAAUGAUCGCCGACACUAGAGGUUGGCCGGGGUCCAUGGGCCUGCGGGAGGCAGCAGUGUGGAAUAUGGGACAGUGGGGGCAAGCCUGGUCCAGCCAGACCGCGUGGGUGGAGAAGGCCUUCGGGUUGUAAAGCCCGUUUGUUGGGAGAGAAAAGCAGCAGGUUAAGACCCCGCUGUACUGACGGUACCCAAUGAAUAAGCACCGGCUAACUUCGUG
rnacentral:rRNA from 1 species